rnacentral:SRP_RNA from 1 species
UCGCGCUAGGCGGGGAGCUAGCGGUGCCCUGUAACCCGAAAUCCGCUCAGCGGGGCUGAAUUCCCUGGGAAGGAUCCGAUUCAGGUCGGCUGUUUCUAAUUCUGGUGUUCAUUGGACACCGCGCAACAGACGAGUACGAACCCCGUCAGGUCCGGAAGGAAGCAGCGGUAAGUAUAAACGGCUGUGUCGUGGUUCACUCUAAUCGAGCAGCGGAAGGCGGGCGGCAUGGUCCUGUUCGGUUCGACCCCGGGUGCGCGG